AGAGUUUGAUCAUGGCUCAGGACGAACGCUGGCGGCGUGCUUAACACAUGCAAGUCGAACGGAAAGUGCCCAGCUUGCUGGGUGACUCGAGUGGCGAACGGGUGAGUAACACGUGGGUGAUCUGCCCUGCACUUUGGGAUAAGCCUGGGAAACUGGGUCUAAUACCGAAUAUUCCUUGCUGGUCGCAUGGCCUGGUGGGGGAAAGCUUUUGCGGUGUGGGAUGGGCCCGCGGCCUAUCAGCUUGUUGGUGGGGUGAUGGCCUACCAAGGCGACGACGGGUAGCCGGCCUGAGAGGGUGUCCGGCCACACUGGGACUGAGAUACGGCCCAGACUCCUACGGGAGGCAGCAGUGGGGAAUAUUGCACAAUGGGCGCAAGCCUGAUGCAGCGACGCCGCGUGAGGGAUGACGGCCUUCGGGUUGUAAACCUCUUUCAACGCCGACGAAGCGUAAGUGACGGUAGGCGUAGAAGAAGCACCGGCCAACUACGUGCCAGCAGCCGCGGUAAUACGUAGGGUGCGAGCGUUGUCCGGAAUUACUGGGCGUAAAGAGCUCGUAGGUGGUUUGUCGCGUUGUUCGUGAAAACCGGGGGCUUAACCCUCGGCGUGCGGGCGAUACGGGCAGACUGGAGUACUGCAGGGGAGACUGGAAUUCCUGGUGUAGCGGUGGAAUGCGCAGAUAUCAGGAGGAACACCGGUGGCGAAGGCGGGUCUCUGGGCAGUAACUGACGCUGAGGAGCGAAAGCGUGGGGAGCGAACAGGAUUAGAUACCCUAGUAGUCC
rnacentral:rRNA from 1 species